CGGCCGCGGUAUCUUGACCGUGCAAAGGUAGCAUAAUCACUUGUUCUCUAAAUAAGGACUUGUAUGAAUGGCCACACGAGGGUUUUACUGUCUCUUACUUUUAAUCAGUGAAAUUGACCUCCCCGUGAAGAGGCGGGGAUAAUAAAAUAAGACGAGAAGACCCUAUGGAGCUUUAAUUAAUCAACUCAAAAAAAUCGCAAAACAGUACCACUAAGGGAUAACAAAAUUUUAUAUGGGUUGACAAUUUCGGUUGGGGUGACCUCGGAGUAUAAAAAACCCUCCGAGUGAUUAAAACCUAGGCCUACUAGCCAAAGUGUAACAUCACUUAUUGAUCCAAAUUUUUGAUCAACGGAACAAGUUACCCUAGGGAUAACAGCGCAAUCCUAUUCUAGAGUCCGUAUCGACAAUAGGGUUUACGACCUCGAUGUUGGAUCAUGACAUCCUGAUGGUGCAGCAGCUAUCAAGGGUUCGUUUGUUCAACGAUUAAAGUCCUACGUGAUCUGA
rnacentral:rRNA from 1 species